CAUUUUUCUGCUACAUCCUGCUCCCUUUUUCUCCCUCCCUUAGGUGUCGAACCCAAGGGCUCUUCUCAGCAGAGUGUCUGCAUGCCACACUCUGCUUUAGAGUCUGUUCCCUGGGGAACACAACCAGAGACUGAAAUAAUUGGUGGGCAGUGGGGAGCACAAAGGGCUGUUUUUGUUUCAUGUGAAGACGAUGAGCAUGCUAUGAACCCCGAAGAGCUGUUGUAUAAAGUAUCUGCCUGGAAACCCUGUUGCCUGGAGACCACUCUUGAAGAACAUCCACUGCUGUGGCCUCUUAAAGAUUUAAGACAUCUAAUGAACAGCUGACAGAAAUCAUCAAUUUGCUCCUCAGGACAUGGAUCGACCUGGAAGCCAUUAUCCUCAGCAAACUGAUGCAGGAACAGAAAACCAAACACUGCGCGUUCUCACUUGUAAGUGGGACCUGAACAAUGAGAACACAUGAACACAAGGAGGGGAACAACACAUACUGGGUCCCGUCAGGGGGUGCGGAGGGAGGGAGAGCAUCACGAUAAAUAGCUAAUGCAUGCGGGGCUUACUACCUAGGUGAUGGGUUGAUAGGUUCAGCAAACCACCAUGGUACAUGUUUACCUGUUUAUCUAUGUAACAAACCUGCACAUCCUGCACAUGUAUCUUGGAACUUAAAAUAAAAUAAAAUUAAAAACUUUUAAAAGAGAAUAAAGUAGGGAGAUGAAUUAAGAGGCACUAAUCCAGGUGAAACAGUUUUAAGAGAUUAAAUCAGCAUCCUUGGUUUCCCCAUCAAAUAACCCAUCAUGCUAACCAGCCCAGACUGAUAUUGCUUUACAUGUAUACGAAAGACAUCUGGUUAAAUCAAAUAGCACUGCCAAUCAAUUUUCACCUAGAGAUAUGCUCAGGUAUUUUCUUAGUUCUUACAUUUUGUAAAUAGGUGGUAUGCUGAAUGGACAUCAAAUUCAAUAACAAAUUCCCAUAAGAAACAUCAG
rnacentral:lncRNA from 1 species